rnacentral:rRNA from 1 species
UACGAAGGGGGCUAGCGUUGCUCGGAAUCACUGGGCGUAAAGCGCACGUAGGCGGCUUUCUAAGUCAGGGGUGAAAUCCUGGAGCUCAACUCCAGAACUGCCUUUGAUACUGGAGAGCUUGAGUCCGGAAGAGGUGAGUGGAACUCCGAGUGUAGAGGUGAAAUUCGUAGAUAUUCGGAAGAACACCAGUGGCGAAGGCGGCUCACUGGUCCGGUACUGACGCUGAUGUGCGAAAGCCAGGGGAGCGAACGGG